rnacentral:rRNA from 1 species
GACGAACGCUGGCGGCGUGCUUAACACAUGCAAGUCGAACGGAAAGGCCCUGCUUUUGUGGGGUGCUCGAGUGGCGAACGGGUGAGUAACACGUGAGUAACCUGCCCUUGACUUUGGGAUAACUUCAGGAAACUGGGGCUAAUACCGGAUAGGAGCUCCUGCUGCAUGGUGGGGGUUGGAAAGUUUCGGCGGUUGGGGAUGGACUCGCGGCUUAUCAGCUUGUUGGUGGGGUAGUGGCUUACCAAGGCUUUGACGGGUAGCCGGCCUGAGAUGGUGACCGGCCACAUUGGGACGGAGAUACGGCCCAGACUCCUACGGGAGGCAGCAGUGGGGAAGAUUGCACGAUGGGCGGAAGCCUGAUGCAGCAACUCCGCGUGCGGGAUGACGGCCUUCGGGUUGUAAACCGCUUUCGCCUGUGACGAAGCGUGAGUGACGGUAAUGGGUAAAGAAGCACCGGCUAACUACGUG